rnacentral:tRNA from 1 species
GGGACUGUGGCUCAGUGGUAGAGCUCUCGCCUCACGUGUGUGAGGGCCUGAGUUCAAACCUUACCAUCUCA